AGAGUUGUGUCUUAGAGUUGCCUUGCAGCACAGGUAGUAUGUUGUAAUUUAGGCCUAUUAAUUAUUGAUAGUACAUGAACUGUAAAUCAACACUUUCAACCUUUUUUUUUUAGGAGGCCCCUAUUUUUACGGAAUUAAGUAGAGAAAAUGAGGAAGAGAAAGUUACGUUUAAUUUGAAUAAAGGAGCAUGUAGUUCGGCAGGAGCAACAUCCUCCAAGUCAAGCUCUCUGGGGCCGAGUGCGCUGAAGACGAUAGGAAGCGCGGCGUCAGUGAAACGGAAAGAACCUCCCCAGGGCUCAGCUCAGUCCAAGGAAAAGAAGAAAAAGAAAUCCGCACUGGAUGAGAUCAUGGAGAUUGAAGAGGAGAA